GCAGAUGUGGCGGAACGGCAGACGCGCAGGCCUCAGAAGCUUGUGGGCACUAAAUGCUCGUGGAGGUUCAAAUCCUCCCAUCUGCA
rnacentral:tRNA from 1 species